rnacentral:rRNA from 1 species
AGUUUGAUCCUGGCUCAGAUUGAACGCUGGCGGCAUGCUUUACACAUGCAAGUCGAACGGCAGCGGGGGCUUCGGCCUGCCGGCGAGUGGCGAACGGGUGAGUGAUACAUCGGAACGUGUCCUUAAGUGGGGAAUAACGCAUCGAAAGAUGUGCUAAUACCGCAUAUCUCUCAGGAGGAAAGCAGGGGAUCGAAAGACCUUGCGCUAAAGGAGCGGCUGAUGUCUGAUUAGCUAGUUGGUGGGGUAAAGGCUUACCAAGGCAACGAUCAGUAGCUGGUCUGAGAGGACGACCAGCCACACUGGGACUGAGACACGGCCCAGACUCCUACGGGAGGCAGCAGUGGGGAAUUUUGGACAAUGGGCGAAAGCCUGAUCCAGCCUUGCCGCGUGAGUGAAGAAGGCCUUCGGGUUGUAAAGCUCUUUUAGUCGGAAAGAAAGAGUCAUAGUAAAUAGCUAUGAUUUAUGACGGUACCGACAGAAAAAGCACCGGCUAACUACGUGCCAGCAGCCGCGGUAAUACGUAGGGUGCGAGCGUUAAUCGGAAUUACUGGGCGUAAAGGGUGCGCAGGCGGCCUUGUAAGUCAGAUGUGAAAGCCCCGGGCUUAACCUGGGAACUGCGUUUGAAACUACAAAGCUAGAGUGCAGCAGAGGGGAGUGGAAUUCCAUGUGUAGCAGUGAAAUGCGUAGAGAUGUGGAAGAACACCGAUGGCGAAGGCAGCUCCCUGGGUUGACACUGACGCUCAUGCACGA